GUGGAUAACCUACCUAUAAGACUGGGAUAACUUCGGGAAACCGGAGCUAAUACCGGAUAAUAUAUUGAACCGCAUGGUUCAAUAGUGAAAGACGGUUUUGCUGUCACUUAUAGAUGGAUCCGCGCCGCAUUAGCUAGUUGGUAAGGUAACGGCUUACCAAGGCAACGAUGCGUAGCCGACCUGAGAGGGUGAUCGGCCACACUGGAACUGAGACACGGUCCAGACUCCUACGGGAGGCAGCAGUAGGGAAUCUUCCGCAAUGGGCGAAAGCCUGACGGAGCAACGCCGCGUGAGUGAUGAAGGUCUUCGGAUCGUAAAACUCUGUUAUUAGGGAAGAACAAAUGUGUAAGUAACUAUGCACGUCUUGACGGUACCUAAUCAGAAAGCCACGGCUAACUACGUGCCAGCAGCCGCGGUAAUACGUAGGUGGCAAGCGUUAUCCGGAAUUAUUGGGCGUAAAGCGCGCGUAGGCGGUUUUUUAAGUCUGAUGUGAAAGCCCACGGCUCAACCGUGGAGGGUCAUUGGAAACUGGAAAACUUGAGUGCAGAAGAGGAAAGUGGAAUUCCAGGUGUAGCGGUGAAAUGCGCAGAGAUAUGGAGGAACACCAGUGGCGAAGGCGACUUUCUGGUCUGUAACUGACGCUGAUGUGCGAAAGCGUGGGGAUCAAACAGGAUUAGAUACCCUGGUAGUCCACGCCGUAAACGAUGAGUGCUAAGUGUUUAGGGGGGUUUCCGCCCCCUUAGUGCUGCAGCUAACGGCAUUAAGCACUCCCGCCUGGGGGAGUACGACCGCAAGGGUUGAAACUCAAAGGAAUUGACGGGGACCCGCACAAGCGGUGGAGCAUGUGGGUUUAAUUCGAAGCAACGCGGAAGAACCUUACCAAAUCUUGACAUCCUCUGACCCCUCUAGAAAAUGAAGUUUUCCCCUUCGGGGGACAGAGUGACAGGUGUUGCAUGGUUGUCGUCAG
rnacentral:rRNA from 1 species